UUUUUAGGUUAAGUUAGUAAGGGCGCACGGUGAAUGCCUUGGCACUAGGAGCCGAUGAAGGACGGGACUAACACCGAUAUGCUUCGGGGAGCUGUAAGCAAGCUUUGAUCCGGAGAUUUCCGAAUGGGGGAACCCACUGCCCGUAAUGGGGUAGUAUCCUUACUUGAAUACAUAGAGUAUGGAAGGCAGACCCGGGGAACUGAAACAUCUAAGUACCCGGAGGAAGAGAAAGCAAACGCGAUUUCCUGAGUAGCGGCGAGCGAAACGGAAGAAGCCCAAACCAAGAGGCUUGCCUCUUGGGGUUGUAGGACACUCUAUGUCAGGAGUUACAAAGGAACGAAGUAAAUGAAGAGGUCUGGAAAGGCCCGUCAAAGAAGGUAACAACCCUGUAGUUGAAACUUCGUUCCCUCCAGAGUGGAUCCUGAGUACGGCGGGACACGUGAAAUCCCGUCGGAAGCAGGGAGGACCAUCUCCCAAGGCUAAAUACUCCCUAGUGACCGAUAGUGAACCAGUACCGUGAGGGAAAGGUGAAAAGCACCCCGG
rnacentral:rRNA from 2 species